AUAAUAAUAAUAAUAAUAAUAAUAAUAAUAAUACAUUUUAUUUGUUAGGCACCUUUCUGGGCACUCAAGGUCGCCUUACAACAAUACAACAUAACAAUAUAAAGUAACAUUAAGACAAAUUAAAAAAAAUAGAUCUGAAGAGCACACGUUUGA